rnacentral:snRNA from 1 species
GCGCUCAUUUCAACAGUGCAUAUAUUAAAAUUGGUACCACACAAAGAAGAGUAGUGAAGCUGUGGACAAGAAUGAUAUGCACAUUUAUGAAACAUUCCUUUUCUUA